GUGUACCUACGGGAGGCAGCAGUGAGGAAUAUUGGUCAAUGGGCUUACGCCUGAACCAGCCAAGUCGCGUGAGGGAAGACGGUCCUAUGGAUUGUAAACCUCUUUUGUCGGGGAGCAAAAGACGCCACGCGUGGCGUUCCGAGAGUACCCGAAGAGAAAGCAUCGGCUAACUCCGUGCCAGCAGCCGCGGUAAUACGGAGGAUGCGAGCGUUAUCCGGAUUUAUUGGGUUUAAAGGGUGCGCAGGCGGAAGAUCAAGUCAGCGGUAAAAUUGAGAGGCUCAACCUCUUCGAGCCGUUGAAACUGG
rnacentral:rRNA from 1 species